UACGGAGGGUGCAAGCGUUGUUCGGAAUCACUGGGCGUAAAGGGCGCGUAGGCGGCUUACUCAGUCCGAUGUGAAAGCCCGGGGCUCAACUCCGGAAGGGCAUUGGAAACUGGUAGGCUUGAGUUCGGGAGAGGAGGGCAGAAUUCCCGGUGUAGGGUUGAAAUCCGUAGAUAUCGGGAGGAAAACCGGUGGCGAAGGCGGCCCUCUGGAACGAAACUGACGCUGAGGCGCGAAAGCGUGGGGAGCAAACAGGAUUAGAGACCCUGGUAGUCCACGCUGUAAACGAUGGAUGCUGGGUGUGGGUGACAAUACGGUCAUCCGUGCCGAAGCUAACGCAUUAAGCAUCCCGCCUGGGGAGUACGGUCGCAAGACUAAA
rnacentral:rRNA from 1 species